UGCCAGCAGCCGCGGUAAUACAGAGGGUGCGAGCGUUAAUCGGAGUUACUGGGCGUAAAGAGUGCGUAGGUGGGAAUUUAAGUCAGAUGUGAAAGACUCCAGCUUAACUAGAGAAUUGCAUAUGAUACUGAGUUUCUAGAGCAUAUUAGAGGAGAGAGGAAUUUCCGGUGUAGCGGUGAAAUGCGUAGAUAUCGGAAGGAACACCAGUUGCGAAGGCGUCUCUCUGGGAUAAUGCUGACGCUGAGGCACGAAAGCGUGGGUAGCAAACAGGAUUAGAUA
rnacentral:rRNA from 1 species